rnacentral:rRNA from 1 species
CCAUGGAGUGGGCUGCACCAGAAGUAGAUAGCUUAACCCUUCGGGGAGGGCGUUUACCACGGUGUGGUUCAUGACUGGGGUGAAGUCGUAACAAGGUAGCCCUAGGGGAACCUGGGGCUGGAUCACCUCCUUACCU